GCCGGCUGCAGUGGCAUGUGCCUGUAGUCCCAGCUAUUCGGAGGCUGAGGUGGGAGGAUUGCUUGAGCCCAGGAGUUCUGGGCUGCAGUGUGCUAUGCCAAUCAGGGUGUCCGCACUAAGUUCGGCAUCAAUAUGGUGACCUCCCGGGAGCAAGGGACCAUCAGGUUGCCUAAGGAGGGGUGAAUGGGCCCAGGUCAGAAACAGAGGAGGUCAAAGCUCCCGUGCUGAUCAGUAGUGGGAUCGCGCCUGUGAAUAGCCACUGCGCUCCAGCCUGGGCAACAUAGCGAGACCCCAUCUCU
rnacentral:SRP_RNA from 1 species